rnacentral:lncRNA from 11 species
UGAAGACCUGGAAGUGAUUGUCAUGGGAAGGGGCAUCUAAGAAUCUGCAGGACUCCAAGAACUUUUGAUGGAAGUUGUCUCCUGCUUUUAUCAGUCAGUUCAUACUCUAUCUAUGGGAAAGCCUACCAAAACAACACAAAUGUUACUGUAUUCUUUGCAUGUUUUGAAGUACUAGAAGCAAGAAAAAUCUGACAGGUAUAAAUGUUGCCAUCUACAGUGAACAAAGACUCUGAUUCAAAAAGACUUGGUUCAUGAAUGCCAUGAUAGAAUUUCACAGCCGUGUGAGCCCAUAGUAGUGAGGCCAAUGUUUCUUCAAAGAUGAAACAUGGGACACAAGAUUGG